ACAAGCGGUGGAGUAUGUGGUUUAAUUCGACGCAACGCGCAGAACCUUACCUAGGCUUGACAUCCCGGGAAUUUGCUGGAAACAGUGAAGUGCUUUCAUUAGAAAGAGCCCGGUGACAGGUGCUGCAUGGCUGUCGUCAGCUCGUGUCGUGAGAUGUUGGGUUAAGUCCCGCAACGAGCGCAACCCUCGCCUUUAGUUGCCAGCAUUCAGUUGGGCACUCUAAAGGGACUGCCGGUGUCAAACCGGAGGAAGUGGGGAUGACGUCAAGUCCUCAUGGCCUUUAUGUCUAGGGCUACACACGUACUACAAUGGCAGGUACAAAGGGCAGCGACACAGCGAUGUGAAGCGAAUCCCGAAAAGCCGGUCUCAGUCCGGAUUGGAGUCUGCAACUCGACUCCAUGAAGUUGGAAUCGCUAGUAAUCGCGGAUCAGCACGCCGCGGUGAAUACGUUCCCGGGCCUU
rnacentral:rRNA from 1 species